rnacentral:rRNA from 1 species
UGGGGAAUCUUCCGCAAUGGACGAAAGUCUGACGGAGCAACGCCGCGUGUAUGAUGAAGGUCUUCGGAUUGUAAAGUACUGUCAUUGGGGAAGAACGGUUUUCUUGAGAAUAUUGAGAAGACAUGACGGUACCCAAGGAGGAAGCCCCGGCUAACUACGUGCCAGCAGCCGCGGUAAUACGUAGGGGGCAAGCGUUGUCCGGAAUUAUUGGACGUAAAGGGCGCGUAGGCGGGCCUUUAAGUCCGGUGUGAAAGAUCAGGGCUCAACCCUGAGAGUGCAUCGGAAACUGGAGGCCUUGAGGACAGGAGAGGAAAGUGGAAUUCCACGUGUAGCGGUGAAAUGCGUAGAUAUGUGGAGGAACACCAGUGGCGAAGGCGACUUUCUGGACUGUAACUGACGCUGAGGCGCGAAAGCGUGGGGAGCAAACAGGAUUAGAUACCCUGGUAGUCCACGCCGUAAACGAUGAGUGCUAGGUGUAGAGGGUAUCGACCCCUUCUGUGCCGCAGUUAACACAAUAAGCACUCCGCCUGGGGAGUACGGCCGCAAGGUUGAAACUUAAAUGAAUUGAC